CAUAACUUUAAAUUGUCCGCAGAUUUUAGACAUAAAUACAUUUUAAAAGACAUGUUUUGAAAAACACAUAAAACAACACAUAAAGCAACAAGUAGCCUAAUUGUAAUAAGAAGCAUAAUAGACCAUAUGUUAAAGGAUCACUGUAGGGUCAGGACACACACCAUAUAAACAUUCGCAGUGCAGGUGGAAAAAGUAUGUGAACCCUUGGAUUUAAUAACUGGUUGAACCUCCUUUUGGCAGCAAUAACUUCAACCAAACGUUUCCUGUAGUUGCAGAUCAGACG